AUUGAACGCUAGCGGGAGGCCUUACACAUGCAAGUCGAACGGAGUGGCGAACGGGUGAGUAAUGUAUCGGAACGUGCCCAGUAGCGGGGGAUAACGACGCGAAAGCGGAGCUAAUACCGCAUACUAUCGGAUCCGCCUCUAUCGGAUUAGCUAGUUGGUGGGGUACAGGCCCACCAAGGCGACGAUCCGUAACUGGUUUGAGAGGAUGAUCAGCCACACUGGAACUGAGACACGGCCCAGACUCCUACGGGAGGCAGCAGUGGGGAAUUUGGGACAAUGGGGGAAACCCUGAUCCAGCCAGCCCGCGUGUGUGAAGAAGGCCUGCGGGUUGUAAAGCACUUUAGGUAGGGAAGCGGUACCUGCAGAAUAAGCACCGGCUAACUACGUGCCAGCAGCCGCGGUAAUUC
rnacentral:rRNA from 1 species